AUGUCACGAACGUCAUGACGAUUUAUAAGCUUAUAUAUUUUAAUAGCACUUACGUUUAUAAUAUAUAAAAAAAAUAAUGCACGGUAAUAUACAUAGGUGGCGAUGUGUAAGAAUAAAACAUUUAAACCUUUUAUCGAAUCGUCGUCAUAGAGUUGAAUUAGAUGUUUAGCGUUUCGAGAUCGUGACCGAGAAAGAUGGUACCGCCGCGCAGCAAUAGUAUCAUUCGUAUUAUUUUAAUGUUCUUUACGCGGAAAAAAGACGAAAAACCGAACGAAGUCAUACUUGUGCGCGUAAAAAUUUAACCACGGAAAGUGGUUGUCGCUGCCAAGGACAAGCUGUAUACCAUUGUGUGUGUGUGUACCUAGUAGUGGUGGUAAUAAAUAUGACAAUACAAUGGCAACAAACAAACACACACACACAACAUGCACUAUGUGGUCGCGUGCUGCAAUAUUUAUAUUCACCGACCAAACAGAAAUAAAUUCAUCACGAAUCGAACCAGCAUUUAGCUCGCCGUUUACUGUUUAGUCAUAAAGACUUACGACACAAGCAGUCGGAGUGGGUAGAGACGUAUAGUUUAUUUAUUUAUUUAUGCUAUAUUAUAUUAUUAUUAUGGUUGUUUCCAUUUUCCUCUAAGCCAAUGGCACCGUUUUCCUUAAAAAGAAGUAUAAAGAACAAAUUCAAUUUUCCUUUAAGUAUAAUAACAAUAACAAUAAAAAUAUUAUCUAGCAAGU